GAUGAACGCUAGCUACAGGCUUAACACAUGCAAGUCGAGGGGUAACGAGAGGAAAGCUUGCUUUCCUUGUCGACGACCGGCGCACGGGUGAGUAACGCGUAUCCAACCUGCCCCCAACUAGGGAAUAACCUUGCGAAAGUAAGACUAAUACCCUAUAAUUUCCUCAGAUGUCAUCUGACGAGGAAUAAAGAUUUAUCGGUUGUGGAUGGGGAUGCGGCUGAUUAGCUUGUUGGCGGGGUAACGGCCCACCAAGGCAACGAUCAGUAGGGGUUCUGAGAGGAAGGUCCCCCACAUUGGAACUGAGACACGGUCCAAACUCCUACGGGAGGCAGCAGUGAGGAAUAUUGGUCAAUGGGCGGAAGCCUGAACCAGCCAAGUAGCGUGCAGGAUGACGGCCCUAUGGGUUGUAAACUGCUUUUAUACAGGAAUAAAGUUAGCCACGUGUGGUUAUUUGUAGGUACUGUAUGAAUAAGGACCGGCUAAUUCCGUGCCAGCAGCCGCAGUAAGAC
rnacentral:rRNA from 1 species